rnacentral:tRNA from 1 species
GUGCUUGUAGUUGAAAUACAACAAAGAUUUUUCAAGUCUUAGGUCCUAGUUAAAAUCUGGGCAGGGACC